UUUGUCCUCACUUUGUCAGGUGUCUGGCUACCCGAAUGCAUGGUAAAAGCAGGACUCUGAGGAAUUAGUGGGGGAGACUAAAAGGUUAUGCAAACAGAGUGUUAUUGAAUAAGCACACUGCAUAAAUAUUAGGACAGGAGACCGGUGACCUCAAAUAACUCUGCCUCUCUUCCACCCUCCUAGCCCAACACUGCCUUGCCAGCCCCUCUGACUCACUCAGCAGAUAAUCUUCUGUAGCUUGAGGACUGCCUGUGGACAGGGCUCACCGCCUGCCUGUCAUCCUGCUAAGCUAUUAUUAGGCAGAGCAGAGCUGUUUGCUGGGACGUUCUGGGCCCUCAGAUGGAGGGCCUAUCAAGGACAGCCCAUGUCGCAGUCUUUCAGUCUCAGCUGGGAAGGACCCGGUAUAUGAGAGCAUUUACUGAGGACCUGCUACACAUCAGGACCCAAAGGACCAAAGGAAUAUCUGAGAUGAUGAUUUCCCCAGGACCUGUUCUCCUGGGAACUCAUCUUGUGGUGAAAUUUAGAAAUACCCACAAUUUACUGUUGUCAAAGUCCCACUGAACCUUGUGAUAUCCCCCCAAAGCUACUGUAACUCCAAUCCUGAACAAAGAAUGGUUUGAAAGCCAAAAACAAAAACAAAAACAAAAAAACAAAAAAAAAAACAAAAAAUAAAACCAACCCCCCAAAAAAACCCUAACCAAAUAAACAACAACAACAACAACAACAACAACAACAAAAAACAGUGAAAUCAUUACACACACACA